UCAAGAAUAUUCCCCAAUGGCCGAAAGGCUGAGGGAGCGACGCCGCGUGUAUGAAGAAGCCCUUCGGGGCGUAAAGUACUUUUAGCCGGGACGAAUUCAUGACGGUACCGGCUGAAUAAGGGGCUGCUAAACUCGUGCCAGCAGCAGCGGUAAUACGAGUGCCCCAAGCGUUAUCCGGAUUUAUUGGGCGUAAAGCGUACGUAGGCGGUUUAGCGCAUCUCCUGUUAAAUCUUGAGGCUCAACCUCGAGGCCGCGGGAGAGAUGGCUAAACUAGAGACCGGGAAAGGCAAGCGGAAUUGCUGGUGUAGGGGUUAAAUCCGUUAAUAUCAGCAAGAACACCAAAAGUGAAGACAGCUUGCUGGAACGGUUCUGACGCUAAGGUACGAAAGCGUGGGGAGCG
rnacentral:rRNA from 1 species